UACGAAGGGGGCUAGCGUUGCUCGGAAUCACUGGGCGUAAAGGGUGCGUAGGCGGGUCUUUUAAGUCAGGGGUGAAAUCCUGGAGCUCAACUCCAGAACUGCCUUUGAUACUGAGGAUCUUGAGUCCCGGAGAGGAAGGUGGAAUUCCCGGUGUAGCGGUGAAAUGUGUAGAGAUCGGGAGGAACACCGGUGGCGAAGGCGGCCUUCUGGACGGUGACUGACGCUGAGGCGCGAAAGCGUGGGGAGCAAACGGG
rnacentral:rRNA from 1 species